GGGGAUGUACCGGUUUCGACUGCAUUGAUAGGGCUUUAGCUGCACGUCGAUUGUGCUGGCAAAUCGUAAAAUUGUCAGGCUAAAUGUAAUUGCAGAUAACAAUCUAGCAUUAGCUGCCUAAUAGCCGCUACGUCUUUAACACUUUCCCUCCCCCGGGGGUGUUCGAGGCGAAACUAAUGGGGGAUAGCUUUUUGAUCUGAUUCCGCUCAAAAAGUAAAACUUAAGGAAAAUCGGCCCGUAGUAGGAUGGCUUUUUCUCCGGCGAACGGCUUAAAUUUAAACGAAAAAGACAAACGUGUAGACGCUACUGUUGUAUGAUGUAGGACGUGGGUUCGACUCCCACCAUCUCCAGAU
rnacentral:tmRNA from 1 species